UACGUAGGAUGCAAGCGUUGUUCGGAAUUACUGGGCGUAAAGAGUACGUAGGCGGUUUGAAAAGUCUGAUAUUAAAGACUGGGGCUUAACUCUAGGAGUGUAUCGGAAACUUUCAGACUAGAGGGCAAUAGAGGAAGUCGGAAUUCUCAGUGUAGCGGUGAAAUGCGUAGAUAUUGGGAAGAACACCAGUGGCGAAAGCGGACUUCUGGGUUGUUACUGACGCUGAGGUACGAAAGCGUGGGGAGCAAACGGG
rnacentral:rRNA from 1 species